UUAGAUACCCUGGUAGUCCACGCCUAAACGAUGUCAACUAGGGUGUUGGGAGGGUUAAACCUUUUAGUGCCGUAGCUAACGCGUGAAGUUGACCGCCUGGGGAGUACGGCCGCAAAGGCUAAAACUCAAAGGAAUUGACGGGGACCCGCACAAGCGGUGGAUGAUGUGGAUUAAUUCGAUGCAACGCGAAAAACCUUACCUACCCUUGACAUGUCAGGAAUCCUGGAGAGAUUCGGGAGUGCUCGCAAGAGAACCUGAACACAGGUGCUGCAUGGCUGUCGUCAGCUCGUGUCGUGAGAUGUUGGGUUAAGUCCCGCAACGAGCGCAACCCUUGUCAUUAAUUGCCAUCAUUGAGUUGGGCACUUUAAUGAGACUGCCGGUGACAAACCGGAGGAAGGUGGGGAUGACGUCAAGUCCUCAUGGCCCUUAUGGGUAGGGCUUCACACGUCAUACAAUGGUCGGUCCAGAGGGUUGCCAACCCGCGAGGGGGAGCCAAUCUCAGAAAGCCGAUCGUAGUCCGGAU
rnacentral:rRNA from 1 species